CCCUACUGAUGAUCUGUUGUUGCCAUGGUAAUCCUGCUCAGUACCAACCCGCAGGUUCAGACAUUCGGUGUAUGUGCUUGGCUAAGGAGCCAAUGGGACAAAGCUACCCUCUGUGGGAUUUUGACUGAAUGCCUCUAAGUCAGAAUCCCGCCCAGGCUGAACCACAGGGCAGCGCUGCAGGGCCUCAGUUGGCCUCGGAUAGCCAGUCUCCCAAUGGCCUGGGAUAGCCAGUCUCCUGCCAUC
rnacentral:lncRNA from 1 species